GAUGAACGCUGGCGGCGUGCCUAAUACAUGCAAGUCGAGCGAACAGACGAGGAGCUUGCUCCUCUGACGUUAGCGGCGGACGGGUGAGUAACACGUGGAUAACCUACCUAUAAGACUGGGAUAACUUCGGGAAACCGGAGCUAAUACCGGAUAAUAUAUUGAACCGCAUGGUUCAAUAGUGAAAGACGGUUUUGCUGUCACUUAUAGAUGGAUCCGCGCGGCAUUAGCUAGUUGGUAAGGUAACGGCUUACCAAGGCAACGAUGCGUAGCCGACCUGAGAGGGGGAUCGGCCACACUGGAGCUGGAACACGGUCCAGACUCCUACGGGAGGCAGCAGUAGGGAAUCUUCCGCAGAGGGCGAAAGCCUGACGGAGCAACGCCGCGUGAGUGAUGAAGGUCUUCGGAUCGUAAAACUCUGUUAUUAGGGAAGAACAAAUGUGUAAGUAACUAUGCACGUCUUGACGGUACCUAAUCAGAAAGCCACGGCUAACUACGUG
rnacentral:rRNA from 1 species